GUUGUGGUUAAUGAUGUAUCUUCUUUCCCCGACAUAUCGACUAUGGUGAUAAACAUAUUGCACAAUAAGCCAAUUAUUUCUGAAACCACAAC